UCCGGCAUGGUGUAGUGGCUAGCAUUUCCGCCUCUCAUUCAGAAAAUGAUUAUCGCGGGGGACCGGGGUUCAAUUCCCCGUACCGGAA
rnacentral:tRNA from 1 species